rnacentral:lncRNA from 1 species
GGUAAAUAUAUCACACUUGGAUUCCUUUUCACAUGAACCUUGCUGACAUUUUCUCCCUUUUGUAUCUUAUACAUCUGACCAGAAAAUAAUAAAUUAUUUGUAAUUUAUAACUUCAUUUAACAGUAGUUCAUAGUUUAAUGUGCUGGAAUGUAACACGUGAUGAUUGGGCAGAGUCCAGCACAAAAAUAAUUUGGUGGUCUUUUUUCAGAAUUUUUUAAUAGUCCACAAACCCCCAGGGAAGCGGGACAUCUGUUGGAGUACUCUUUCAGUAGACAUCUCAAGUGGCCAGCUAACCUGCUGGGGAAUGGAUCAUCCUGCAGAGGGUGAAUCAUGAGCUCACAGAUGAAAGUCACCCAAGAUGACAUCCCAGAUACUAUUGGCAAACAUCAUACAUGCCGAAAUCAAAGAUGAAGCUGUCAAACAGUAAGAGUGGAUGCUGCAGGGAUAGACAGCAACAUCAUGUUAAAGAAAACGCUCUCAGAAGCCUUCAGGGGAAGUCACUGCACAAAGUGGAAAGUGUGUUUAAAAAAGAGAGAGAAAAAUUAAAGUAUAUAAGCCAACUCAAGGUAUCUUGAGGUACCAGUAGUGUGUUGUAGAACGUUCGACUCCUGGGAUGCAUAUGUGGAAUGGAAGAUUUGGACUUUAUCUGGAUGUUCUACUGGCUAUUCAGAAGAUGGCCCUGAGAGAGGAGUUGACUCUACUUCUCUUCUGAAGUUGGGUUAUUGCAAAAAGUAUCAUUUCAGGCAAGCUCUGUAAGCCCAUGUCUGAGUCACUGAGAUGUGCUUUGCAAUGGAGGAUUAAGGGAGUUUGCACAUGGAAGCAUGACUGUGCUUGCAGUCCCACAGUAGAAAAGGCAACCAGGAGGGGGGAAUAAUCAGUAACAAGGAAAGAACUGCCUGGGAUGUCCGGGCUGGCCACCAGUGGAAAAAAAAGAAAGAAUCAGAUGAGAACUGAGUGAAGUAUAAGAAACCAAGCACAGAUAUUGCCUGGAUAUUUUUGUGCCUGAAGUUGUUCCUUGCCACCUGUUACCUGAUUCUUCAAUUGCACCAACUUUCUCUUCCAUGACAGUGGUUGGCAUCCUGCUAAGGACAA